ncrna:unclassified sequences Clostridiales-3 RNA
UAGUAGCCUGAUGGAUCGAAAGAUGAAGGGUGAGAAGCUGGAUGGAAAUCUGGUAAAAGGAAUAGGCAUGUUGCGUAAGGAUAAUUAACCACAGAGGGCGAGAAGUUCGUCCUUAUCCUCAAAAGGCUAAAAGAGGAGAUAGUGCUUCUGAUAAUUCAGAAGGGCGUCGUGAAACACAUUUUGUGGCUCGUCUGUAACUCCCGGAGGUGAGAACACCUCUUUGUACACGGGGCGAUAUAGGAGUCUAGAAGACUGGCGUGUACCUACA